rnacentral:rRNA from 1 species
ACGCUGGCGGCGUGCCUAACACAUGCAAGGUCGAACGGGGUUGAGUGCUUCGGUAUUCAACUUUAGGUGGACGAACGGGUGAGUAACGCGUGAAGAACCUGCCUUUCAGUGGGGGGACAACAGUUGGAAACGACUGCUAAUACCGCAUGACACUUUUUGGGGGCAUCCCUGAGAAGUCAAAGCUUUAUGUGCUGAAAGAUGGCUUCGCGUCUGAUUAGCUAGUUGGAGGGGUAACGGCCCACCAAGGCGACGAUCAGUAGCCGGUCUGAGAGGAUGAACGGCCACAUUGGGACUGAGACACGGCCCAGACUCCUACGGGAGGCAGCAGUGGGGAAUCUUCCGCAAUGGACGAAAGUCUGACGGAGCAACGCCGCGUGAACGAUGACGGCCUUCGGGUUGUAAAGUUCUGUUAUACGGGACGAAUGGUAUGACGGUCAAUACCCGUCGUAAGUGACGGUACCGUAAGAGAAAGCCACGGCUAACUACGUG